UGUGGGAGCGAGCCUGCUCGCGAUAGCGCCGGCAUAUUCAACAUCAGUACAAGCUCAUGCACCGCUAUCGCGAGCAGGCUCGCUCCCACA
rnacentral:misc_RNA from 1 species